GACAGAGGGGGCAAGCGUUGCUCGGAAUUACUGGGCGUAAAGGGCGCGUAGGCGGGAUGGCAAGUCGGUCGUGAAAUCCUUCGGCUCAACCGAAGAACGUCGAUCGAUACUGCUGUUCUUGAGGGUUGCAGAGGAGACUGGAAUUCCCGGUGUAGCGGUGAAAUGUGUAGAGAUCGGGAGGAACACCGGUGGCGAAGGCGGGUCUCUGGGCAAUUCCUGACGCUGAGGCGCGAAAGCGUGGGGAGCAAACGG
rnacentral:rRNA from 1 species